UAUAGAGUGAAGUGAAUAGAAAAAAUAUCAUAUAUAACCAUGGCUAAUUUUAGGAAGUAAAUAGUGUUUCAUAAUAAGAGUCAUCCUAAACAUUUUUCUGCCUAAUUUUCUGACCCAGUGUUAAAAAUUUUUAUUUGCUUUAGUGCAAGCUUGUUCAACCCACAGGCCACAUGCAGCCCAGGAUGUUUUUGAAGGCGGCCCCAACACAAAUUUGUAAACUUUCUUAAAACAUGAGAUUUUAUGUGAUUUUUUUUUUAAUUUUUAUUUUAGCUCAUCAGCUAUCAUUAGUGUUGGUGUAUUUUAUGUGUGGCCCAAGACAGUUCUUCCAGUGUGGCCCAGGGAAGCCACAAGAUUGGAGACCCCUGCUAGUGUUUAAUGCUUAUAUAUGUAUUUACUUGUAAAUAUGUUGUUUCUUUGAUAGGAUAUGAUUUCAACAUAAUUACUGUUUAUUUAAAAUAAGAAAAAUAAAUAACUUUCAACCAUUAAGAGGUUAUAAGACCUUAAAGGGAAAGUUUCUUUAAUAGGGUAUAAUUUCAAAAUAAUUGCUUUUUAUUUAAGAAAAAUCAGUAACCUUCAACCAGUAACAGGUUAAAGAAUUUAAAGGUAAAAGACAUUUCAACUAAUUACAAAUACUUUGGUUUUUUUUAGUUGGGCAACAUUCUACCACUCUAGGAAUAGCUGUUAAUUAUUUUUUAUAUAGGGUAUUUUUGUGUAUUUAAUGUUGACAACUGACGUUUCCAAUAUAUAAAAACUUGUGUAACUGAGAAAAUUAUAAUGAAAAUAGAGAUUGAGGAUAUAUUUUUAACAUAUAUCCAUGAGUCAACACUAAUAUUUAAUAUUUGAGAUUUGAAAAAUUAUUUCUAGGGUGAGAAAUUUUGUCACAAUAUAAUAUCUGUAUAUUGUGCCUUUUUAAGAGAGAAAUUUUUGAUGAAUUUAAUGUUAAUUAAAUUUUAUCUCAGCCUAUCACCAUCAGACCAAAAGAAGAUACAGUAUUUUUCUAACAAGGAAAAGAAAAUACAUACAUAUGUAUUUAUAUAUACAAAUGUAUAUGUGUGUAUAUACAUAUAAUUUCUUUUUUUUUAUAUAAGAAUCGAGACAGGGUGUCACUAUGAUGUGUGGGCUGGUCUCGAACACCUGCCUCAAGUGAUCCUCCCACCUUGGCCUCCCAAAGUGCUAGAAUUCACCAUGAGCCACUGUGCCAGUUUCCAACAAGAAAAAUAUUAAAUGUAUUGGUUUUUCACAGUGAAACUUAAUUCAGCUUAGGUGAACCAUAUAUGUGUGUAUAUGGCAUAUACAAGAUGAAAAAGGGAGGAAAAGUAAUAACGAUGGUUGCCAUCAAUCAUUGAACACCUGUAAUGUUUUAGUCAUUAUACUAGCUGACUUACAAAUAUUGUCUCAUUUGAUGCUACGUUUAUAUUUCUAUGAGGUAGAUACUGAUUUCUAUUUGACUGCUCAAGAAACUGAAGGGCAGGCAGGUCAGGUGAUUUGCCCAAAGUCCACACUGUCACUAAAUGAACAUAGAUUGGUAUGACUCCCAAGCCUGUGAGUUUUUGACCAUCAUAUUCUGCCUCACCAUGAGAAGUUUUUUUUAACUAAUUUUUUUAAUUAAACGAAGCAGUAUAUGGAAAGAGAGGUGAUAAUCCAUGUUUGCUCUCUGCAGUUUCCAGACCAUUCAUGGCUUAUUUUUAUGCUGGAUAUAGUCAUUUUUUUAAAUGCUACAAACUGUUCAAAAGAGCAUGAACAACAUGAUAACUCCUUAUAAUUUUGUUGUAAGAAAAAUGGCUAAAAGUAUGUGGGAUGUUUAAUUUGGAUAAGUGGAGAUUCUAUCACUUGAUAAGCUCUCUUGAAGAAUAAUUAUUUGAAAGAUUGAACUUAAUUCUGUAUUGCCUGAACUGUAAAUCAGAGGUCAACAAUUAGAUUGCAAAUCAUGAAAAGCAUACCUUUUCUAAUUGUUUAGUGUUUUUAGGAAAACAAGCCCAGAAAAAAAGUAAAAUUCUCAUUCAUUGGAGAUAAGAUUUUUAUUUAUUAAAGAUGCUUCAGGAGAGUUAGAUAGCAAGUAGGUAAAAUGUCUUUUGAAGAUAUCUGACAUCUUUAAAGCUCUGUGAUUUUUAAAUUCUUAAUUUUGUUACAGCUAAUUUUUAAAAAUUCAUUGCUGUGUCAUGGUCAAGUAUUUCUGAUGACUUACUGCUGUCUUUGGUAUAUUUUAAGUUUCUAAACCAAAACUACUAUUUAUAUUACCCUGUUUUAGAAAAACAUUUGAGUUAUACAACUUAGUAAAAGGUAUUUUAGCGAUGAUGUUUUGGAGCACUGGUAAUAUAGUAUUUAACUUAUUUUCUAUUUUUUAUCCCUCUACAUUAGUGAAAGUAAUGUACUUCUAUUUGAAAAGCUUUCCCCCAGUGAUUAAAAAAAAAAAAAAAAAAAA
rnacentral:lncRNA from 1 species